UGGGGAAUCUUGCGCAAUGGGCGAAAGCCUGACGCAGCCAUGCCGCGUGAGUGAUGAAGGCCUUAGGGUUGUAAAACUCUUUCACCGGGGACGAUAAUGGCGGUACCCGGAGAAGAAGCCCCGGCUAACUUCGUGCCAGCAGCCGCGGUAAUACGAAGGGGGCUAGCGUUGCUCGGAAUUACUGGGCGUAAAGGGCGCGUAGGCGGAUCAGCAAGUUGGGGGUGAAAGCCCGGGGCUCAACCUCGGAAUUGCCUUCAAAACUGCUGAUCUAGAGUACGGGAGAGGUGUGUGGAACUCCGAGUGUAGAGGUGAAAUUCGUAGAUAUUCGGAAGAACACCAGUGGCGAAGGCGACACACUGGCCCGUUACUGACGCUGAGGCGCGAAAGCGUGGGGAGCAAACAGGAUUAGAUACCCUGGUAGUCCACGCUGUAAACGAUGAUUGCUAGUUGUCGGCAGGCAUGCCUGUCGGUGACGCAGCUAACGCAUUAAGCAAUCCGCCUGGGGAGUACGGUCGCAAGAUUAAAAACUCAAAUGAAUUGACGGGGUC
rnacentral:rRNA from 1 species